ensembl:lncRNA
GGCAGACACAAAGCAUCUUUAAUCGAGCCCCCAGCCCAGCCCAGCCCUGACACCCCAGCAUCUCCAAGCACCAAACACAGGAGCGUGGUCCUCUCAGCCCCAGGCCGUUCCCGCAUGGGGAUCCCAAGAAGCCUCCUCCUCUGUCACUGGGCCCAGCCCGGACCCCACGCGCACCACAACCAGCCCCCAGCUUUAUUUCAAUAAAUAACCCCAGAACAAAGCUCGGGGCAGGGAUCUGGAAUCCAGGUGGACACGCAGCGACAGAGGGCUGCCUCAGCGGUGAGCAGGCACCAGUGCCCAGGCCCUGGACAGCUGUCCCCUGCUCCCCACCUCCAAGCCUACGCCAUUCCUGGCCCGCCAUGGGCCUAGCUUUUGUCCUGACUCUCAGAUCUGAGCUGGAGCCCUGGGGACCUGGGGAGGGGAUGUCUGGGGAGGAAGGCCUGAGACUUCCAGGGAUGGAGCUGGGCCGUGAGCUCGCAGCUCCCGGGUCACUGGCCCCGGCGCCGGCGGGGGACACCCAGGGGCCGAGCCCGGCCCAUCUCCCUGCGGAUAUCCCCCAGCACUGCUGCCGGGGACUCCAGCAGCCUCUGGAACAGACUGGGCCUGGCCGGUGGCUCGCGGCACUGGAAGGUGACAGCUGUGCCUGCGUCGGCCUUCAUCUCCCUGGAGAAGCCAUCGGAGGAGCCAUCGAAGCAGCGGCCGAUGGCAAUCUCCUUGGCCAGCCUCGGGCUCUGGUCCGUGACCGUGUAGACACCAUAGUUGUGACCCAGGGGGUCCAGGGGUGCCAGCAUGGCGAAGGCAGCCGGGUCGUCGGUGGGUGCGGGCGGGGGGUGCCGGGCCAGGUAGUCCUGCAGGAGCCCGUUGACAGCCACGCGCCGGCAGCUGCCCUGGGGGGCGAUGGUCACCAGCGUCCUGUCCACCUGCCGCUGGUCGAAUAGCAUCCCGCCACACUUGAACUCCACGCAGGCGGCCGAGGUGCUGGGCCGCUGGGGGUCGCGCACACUCGGCGGGGCGUCCCGAGGCCGUAGAGCUGUCCCUGGGUGCGGGGGUGGCUGCCGCCCACGUUAUGUGAUCGUACCACCACCUCCUGGGGGCCCUGGACCUUCACCUUGAGGUAGCAGGCGCGGAACUCCUGUGGGUUGGGCCACCAGGACAGGAGGUCGCCGGUCCAGGAGGCGGGCGAGCCCUCCCGGAAGGGGACCACGUUGUACUCAUACUUGUCCGACUCCACGCGUGAGAAGCGGAAAUGGCUGGCAGUGACCGGGGCGUCCUGGCAGUCUCGCAGGCUGCGCCAUGGGUACACAGGGCCAUUGGCCUCGUUGGGGUCCCCAGGCCUGGGCUUGGCCAGGUUGAUGCGGAAGCCUGUGCGUUUGAAGGCCAGGUCGUCGUGGUCGGUGCGCUGGUAGCCCAGCCGGUCCAGGUAGGGCUGCGUGACACCCACAGUGGCUGGAGCAGCCGGGGUCCUGAGGUGCGGGCUCCAGCUCCUCACCACCCAGGGUGGCGGUGACCAGCGCCUGUGUAGGCGUCAGGCCGGUCCUCAUCGCAGAAGGCGGGGAGGCAGGCGCCAUUGGGCCCGGUGACCGCGCUGUCCGCGCGGCCCCAGGCGCGUGGGUUGGCAGAGAAGCCGAAGCGCGGGCUCCAGGUUCACGAGCGUCACCACCACACCCUCCACCUGCUCACUGGCCACGAACUUGUCAUUGGCAAAGGCACGGACCUUCACAAAGCAGCGCGCUCAGGCACGCCCAGGUUGAACAGCCGCCGCUCACGGAUCUCCAGGUUGCCCGCCAGAAACACACGCCCUUCUCGGCGCACGCUGGGGCCCGUGGAGCUCUGGCGCCUGAAGCUGCUCUCCUCCUCCCCACAGGCCAGUCUCUGGGCUCCAGGGACCACAGCCGGAGGGGCCUUGGCGUGGCCAGCCAUGCGGAUCUGGUCAGCGGCCACCCGCACGACCACGGGCCCAGCGUGCAGCUGCUCUGUGGGGAGCCCGGUGCGUGCAGGUCCACGGAGAACAUCCCAUAGGUGCGCAGCGGGGCCAGGUCACCGUCCACGGUCCACAAAGCGCAGGUCACUGGGGGCCGCCACCGCGGGAGGCCAGGUCUCUGGGGUCCACGAAGGUCACCUGGGCUUCCACGCUCCCUGUGUAGGGGCUGCCGUCAGGAGCCCGGAUGGAUCCAGGCGGCAGCACCAGCUCCCCGAUGGGCGCCUCUCCCCUCGAGGUCCCCAAGCGGGAUCCUGUUGCUCUGCCCUGGUGUUCAGCAGGGCAGCCGGCUUCUUCCGCAUGGCCCUGACCUCGUGGUACACGCCCGUGCCUUGGGGGUCAAAAGGCAGCACUGGACGGUAUCCACAAACUCGCCGCGUGGGGUCCACAAAUGUCACCACCAGCCGCUUCUGUGGAGGGCGGCACCUCGAUGGUGAAGUCAGCCUGGUAGGGGAGGUAAAGCCACGGACUUCUGGGCCCAGGAGGAUCCUGGCAAAGCUCAAGGGCUCCUGGGAGUCCGCAGCCACCAGGCGGCCUUGGACAAGCCCCCGUGGGGGGCAGGCACUUCUGGCACCCACACUCGCCACCACCUUCACUGGCAGGACGUAGCCAGCACAGCGGAUCUCCCCCGCUCUCCAGGCGGCGCACGGCUGGCACAGCAGCUCGGGCCUACUUCCCCACAGCUGGUGACGGAGCCUGUGGGGCCUGGGCAGCGGGUGUCUGGGCAGAGACCCACGUCUAGGUAGGCAGGGCCGCUGCUGCCCUGCCUGCCGCAGCCUUCGGGCAGUUUGAUGAGGUGCUCUUGGGGCUGGGGGUCACACGUUGGCUGGCCAGGGGCUGGGGAGCCGGAAGACAGCAGUCAGUGAGACGAGGCUGGGGGCUUGGUCCAUAUGGGGGAUGGGGGAUCGGCUGGGGCUAGGACUGGGGUUUGGGGCCCAGGGAAUGAAAUCCGUUCCAAGCUGGAGUUCACUGGAGCUCAGGGUCAGGGAUGCUCACCCAGCACAGUGAGCCGGGCAGGGCCAGAGCGCACAGUGCCCGCCUUGCUCCAUGCCUUGCAGUGGUAGAGGCCCGCCUGUUCCGCACGCAGCCCAUGCAGCUCCAGGUGGGUGCCAGACCCAUGCUGCUGCCGGUCCAGCAGCGUCCCAUUGUGGAACCUGGGUAUUUUCUUGGGCACGGGUGUCCCUGCAGCCCUGCAGCAGAAGGUCACGUUGUGUCCGGCCUCUCGCACUGCGCGACUCUGGGUGCUUCACCAGGUAGGGCUUCUCUGG